rnacentral:lncRNA from 1 species
GUACAAGCCCAAUUUUCAUGCCCGGGCCCAAUUAACCUUUAGCCCAAGCAAAAACAAAACAUAAAACCUGUUAAUAAUUGAACCAAAACCAAUUAACUUACCCAACUAGCCUAACCCGGAACCCAAUUACAAACAGACCCAAUUACCAUUAACCUAACCUACCCAAUCCAUUACAGAACAGGCCCAAACCCGAGGCCCAAUGUCUUAGCCCAGUAAGCUCACUGCCAAAACUAGGGUUUCAGAAAAUCUGAAACCCUAGCGCCGCACCUGCUCCUGGCCUCCUCACCUGCCCUCUGUUCACAGCCGUCACCACGCCCACUUGCCACCGACUCACCUGCUCCAACUGCUCCGCCAGUACCUGCAACAAACACCAACAAGCAACAGCAAAUACGGAUAGCAAAAAGAGAUUUUUUUGGUAGUUUGGCUAUAUAAGGCCGAUUGAAAAAAGAAAAGGGGCUUCUUUUUUCUUUUUUCGAUUUGUAACCAAGAAAACAAAUUUCAACAGAAUAAUAAAAAAUAUCAAGCUUCAAGGUGAUUCCCUGGGUUUUCGAUUGCAAUAUUUACUUUUUCUUUUUUUCGUUGUAUUUAUUUUAUUUUAUUUUGAUUUUUUUAAACGAAAUAAAAAACAUAAAAUAAAGAAAAAAGAGACUCACCGCGGGUCGCUGUUUCCUCCUCGUCGGAAACUCCUUCUCCGGUGAGGAGGCCGACUGUAGAGAAGCCUAAUAGCCUUUUCCCAUUCGUUUUUGGUCAUUUUGAGGCCGGAUUCGGGUUUAGGAGAUAGGCAUCUCUAAGGGCACGCCUUUCUCCACUCGCCGGCCACCGUGUACGGCGUCACUGGCACCGGCGAUCCGACGGCCGACAAGGUGGCCCUCGGCCGGACCCGAGAUCAAGAAAGGGGAAGAGGGAGAGAGAACUGAGAAUUUUUUAGUUCUUUAAAAAAAAAGGAAUGGGGUUGAAUGAUUUUUUUUUAAACAAAAAUUGGUUUAAAUACCUAAAUGAAACGGCGUCGUUUUGGCCUGUUUCAUUCGGCCUCAAACGACGCCGUUUUGCGUCUAAAUCGAGAUCCGACCCGCGACCCGACCCGUCUGAUCUAGGGACCCGCGUGUUUUGGACGGAAGGGUUAAUUGCACCUUUAGCCCUUCCGCUUUUUUAAUGCUUUUUAAAUUAGGUUCUUUUGAUCUUUUAAAUUUACCCAAAACUUUUUUCGUAUUUUCAACUUCGUCCUUACUCGGACUACGCCGUUUUAAAGGAAGGGUAAUUUUCUUUGAUGGUCCCUCCAUGUUACAUGCGUGUUCAGAGCAAUCCCUCCCCUUUCGUUUAUUUGCGCUUUGAACCCCCCGAAUCUUGUUUAAUGUUUAAUCUAAUCCUUUAGUGAUUUUGUUUAUUUUCUUUACAAAUUUUAUAUUAUUAUUGUUAUUGCAUCAUUAUUAUUAUUGUAAUUGCUUUUAUAGAUA